UACGAAGGGGGCUAGCGAUGCUCGGAAUUACUGGGCGUAAAGGGCGCGUAGGCGGCACUGUUAGUCAGGCGUGAAAGUCCUGGGCUCAACCUGGGAACUGCGCUUGAUACGGCAGAGCUAGAGGAUGGAAGAGGCUCGCGGAAUUCCCAGUGUAGAGGUGAAAUUCGUAGAUAUUGGGAAGAACACCGGUGGCGAAGGCGGCGAGCUGGUCCAUUACUGACGCUGAGGCGCGAAAGCGUGGGGAGCAAACAGG
rnacentral:rRNA from 1 species